rnacentral:rRNA from 1 species
AUUGAACGCUGGCGGCAGGCUUAACACAUGCAAGUCGAGCGGAGAGAGGUAGCUUGCUACUGAUCUUAGCGGCGGACGGGUGAGUAAUGCUUAGGAAUCUGCCUAUUAGUGGGGGACAACAUUUCGAAAGGAAUGCUAAUACCGCAUACGUCCUACGGGAGAAAGCAGGGGAUCUUUGGACCUUGCGCUAAUAGAUGAGCCUAAGUCGGAUUAGCUAGUUGGUGGGGUAAAGGCCUACCAAGGCGACGAUCUGUAGCGGGUCUGAGAGGAUGAUCAGCAACACUGGGACUGAGACACGGCCCAGACUCCUACGGGAGGCAGCAGUGGGGAAUAUUGGACAAUGGGCGCAAGCCUGAUCCAGCCAUGCCGCGUGUGUGAAGAAGGCCUUAUGGUUGUAAAGCACUUUAAGCGAGGAGGGGGCUACUUUAGUUAAUACCUAGAGAUAGUGGACGUUACUCGCAGAAUAAGCACCGGCUAACUCUGUGCCAGCAGCAGCCGCGGUAA